rnacentral:misc_RNA from 1 species
UUUCCGUAGGUGAACCUGCGGAGGGAUCAUUACACAAAUAUGAAGGCGGGCUGGAACCUCUCGGGGUUACAGCCUUGCUGAAUUAUUCACCCUUGUCUUUUGCGUACUUCUUGUUUCCUUGGUGGGUUCGCCCACCACUAGGACAAACAUAAACCUUUUGUAAUUGCAAUCAGCGUCAGUAACAAAUUAAUAAUUACAACUUUCAACAACGGAUCUCUUGGUUCUGGCAUCGAUGAAGAACGCAGC